AGGAGAGCCAGCAGGGCAAGAACUAUCACUCCUCUCCCACCCUCAGACUCACCUGCCGGUGACCAAGUCAGGCUCACAACAUCAGACGUUUCUUUCCUUUAGGAGGAUUUAGAUUUUAGAGGUCCUAAUUCAGUCUGGGCUCUGGUUUCAUACAAUAGAAUCUGGCAGUGGUAAACUUAAGCAUAUGGGGAAUGGAUCAGAAGAGUAUGAAGUAACCCAGCAAAAGGCUGGCAUCUUGCAAAGGUGGAUGGAGCCAAGACUCUUCUGAGAUUUCAUAAGAUACCUCACAGAAAGCCACUCUAGCCUGAGGGGGAUAAAACGAAGGUCAGCCUCUAUGCUGGUUUCCCAGGUUCACAAGAAGGAUAAUUUUUGAUGGAAGAAGGAAUACAGAUGGAAAGGCCUAAGGCUGAAGCCAUGUGACUUUCCCCUCAUGUUUCCUGGUCCAGAAGAGGAGCUGAGGGUGCAGGAGGUUUACCGCCCUGUGGAAGGGCAGGACAAAGGCAGCCCCAGGCAGAGGGAGAAUGAGGAAGCGGAGGCAGAGUGGACUGGAAGGAACUUGACCCAGGAUGCUGAGGAAGCAGAGCUGUGAAUAUUUGAGUUCAAGCAGUUGGGCUCCCGAAGUCGGUGAUGUUAACCCUAAGCUACGUUGUCAUCAUUAUAAUAGUAAUACUUCAUUUCUAGCUA
rnacentral:lncRNA from 1 species